UCCUAGCCCCGAUUGUAGCGGUUGUUUGAGCUCUUUUUUAUUUUUUCUUUUCAAAAAAUAAAAAAAGCGAGUGCGGAAAGCGGGAGAUUGC
rfam:Tenacibaculum dicentrarchi strain AY7486TD, complete genome.